rnacentral:rRNA from 1 species
UGGGGAAUAUUGGACAAUGGGCGAAAGCCUGAUCCAGCAAUGCCGCGUGAGUGAUGAAGGCCUUAGGGUCGUAAAGCUCUUUUACCAGGGAUGAUAAUGACAGUACCUGGAGAAUAAGCUCCGGCUAACUCCGUGCCAGCAGCCGCGGUAAUACGGAGGGAGCUAGCGUUGUUCGGAAUUACUGGGCGUAAAGCGUGCGUAGGCGGUUAUUCAAGUCAGAGGUGAAAGCCCGGGGCUCAACCCCGGAACGGCCUUUGAAACUAGAUAACUAGAAUCUUGGAGAGGUCAGUGGAAUUCCGAGUGUAGAGGUGAAAUUCGUAGAUAUUCGGAAGAACACCAGUGGCGAAGGCGACUGACUGGACAAGUAUUGACGCUGAGGUACGAAAGCGUGGGGAGCAAACA